AGAGUUUGAUCCUGGCUCAGAACGAACGCUGGCGGCGUGCCUAACACAUGCAAGUCGAACGAGAAAGCUCCUUCGGGGGUGAGUAAAGUGGCGCACGGGUGAGUAACACGUGGGUAAUCUACCUUCAGGUUUGGGAUAACUCGGGGAAACUCGGGUUAAUACCAGAUGAGACCACAUCGCUUUGGCGAUGUGGGAAAAGAGGGGGUCCUCUUCGGAGGCCUCUCGCCAGGGGAUGAGCCCGCGGUCCAUCAGGUUGUUGGUGGGGUAAUGGUCUACCAAGCCUAAGACGGAUAGCUGGUCUGAGAGGAUGAUCAGCCACACUGGAACUGAGAUACGGUCCAGACUCCUACGGGAGGCAGCAGUGGGGAAUAUUGCGCAAUGGGCGAAAGCCUGAUGCAGCAACGCCGUGUGUGUGAUGAAGGCCCUCGGGUCGUAAAGCACUGUCGGAACCCAAGAUGGGGGCAAAGGAAUAAUAUUCUUUGCUUCUGAUGGUAAGUUCAAAGGAAGCACCGGCUAACUCUGUGUUAGCAGUUGUGGUAAGACAGAGGGUGCAAGCGUUGUUCGGAAUUAUUGGGCGUAAAGCGCGCGUAGGCGGUUUUUCAAGUCGGAUGUGAAAGCCCGGGGUUUAAUUCCGGAAGUGCAUCCGAAAUUGGAUCACUUGAGUCCCGGAGAGGGUGGUGGAAUUCCUGGUGUAGAGGUGAAAUUCGUAGAUAUCAGGAGGAAUAUCCGUGGCGAAGGCGACCACCUGGACGGUGACUGACGCUGAGGUGCGAAAGCGUGGGGAGCAAACAGGAUUAGAUAUCCUGGUAGUCCACGCUGUAAACGAUGGAUACUAGGUGGUGCGGGUAUUGACCCCUGCACCGCCGGCGUUAACGCAAUAAGUAUCCCGCCUGGGAAGUACGGCCGUAAGGCUAAAACUCAAAGGAAUUGGUGGGGACCCGCACAAGCGGUGGAGCAUGUGGUUUAAUUCGACUACGCGAAGAAUUUUACCCAGGCUUAAUAUUGAAGGAACCUGAUGGAAACAUUGGGGUGCUCUUCGGAGCCCUGAAAAUAGGUGCUGUAUGGCUGUCGUCAGCUCGUGUUGUGAGAUGUUGGGUUAAGUCCCGCAACGAGCGUAACCCCUAUCGUUAGUUGCCAGCACGUGAUGGUGGGCACUCUAGCGAGACUGCCGGUGUCAAACCGGAGGAAGGUGGGGACGACGUCAAGUCCUCAUGGCCCCUUAUGUCUGGGGCUACACACGUGCUACAAUGGCUGCUACAAUGUGUUGCAAACCCGCGAGGGGGAGCAAAUUGCAAAAAAGCAGUCUCAGUUCGGAUCGGAGUCUGUAAUUUGACUCCGUGAAGUCGGAAUCGCUAGUAAUCGUGGAUUAGCAUGCCACGGUGAAUACGUUCCCGGGUCUUGUACACACCGCCCGUCACACCAUGGGAGUCGGUUGCUCCAGAAGUCUAUGAGCCAACAGUUUACUGAGGCAGUGGCUUAAGGAGUGGCUGGUAACUGGGGUGAAGUUGAAAUAAGGU
rnacentral:rRNA from 1 species